AUUUGCAAAAAAAGUAUACAGCAUUUUUAAUCUUUUGUGGAAUUCUAUGUGAUACACCUAAAACUUCUGACUCAAUGGGUAAAAAUUUAGUGAUAGAAGCACGUUAAAGUAUUGAGUUGAAUUUAUGCUGUUGGCAAAAUUUUACUGUAAGAUGUCGAAGAGAAUUUUGGAGGGGAAUUUGGUGUGGUUAUUGAAUUGACAGAGGUUGGUUUUGUUAUUGCUGUUGUCAUUAUCUUCUAUAUUUUUGAGGCAGAGUGGUUGUUGGCAAAAGCAAAACUGGCAAUAUCUUCACCGACCUGUGUUUAGAUGUUUUUAGGUUUUUGUCUCUGACAAUGAAGGUGGUAAAUGAGCAAAUACCCACAAAAGACCUGUCCAAGUGUGAUUUUUUUUUUUUACUGAUAAUGGAAAUCAUAGUAAAGAUACAAAGCCACCUUGGUGUGAUUUAUUCUUUGACAGGGAAGUGCAACCUAACCAAAAGUUGCAUUCUGUAAGAGGUUUACAAGAAUUAAAUGGAAAAUUAAACUACA